UCCAACUCAUCGGGGAGCAAACCCAUUUUGCAUUGAGUCAAUCAAUGCAUUUGGGCGCUGAGACCUAAGUGUUUUACUAGGGACCCGUAUUACCUGAACCAGAUAAUGCUGGCGUAGGAAUUGAGUCUGGAUAUUGG
rfam:Vibrio parahaemolyticus RIMD 2210633 DNA, chromosome 1, complete sequence.